GACGAACGCUGGCGGCGUGCCUAACACAUGCAAGUCGAACGGGGCUCUUUGGAUCGAGACUUCGGUCAAGUGAAUCUGAGCUUAGUGGCGGACGGGUGAGUAACGCGUGAGCAACCUGCCUUUCAGAGGGGGACAACAGUUGGAAACGACUGCUAAUACCGCAUAACGUGUCGAGGAGGCAUCUCCUUGACACCAAAGAUUUAUCGCUGAAAGAUGGGCUCGCGUCUGAUUAGCUAGUUGGUGGGGUAACGGCCUACCAAGGCGACGAUACAUAGGGGGACUGAGAGGUUAACCCCCCACAUUGGUACUGAGACACGGACCAA
rnacentral:rRNA from 1 species